GGGAGGUGGCGGCGGCUGAGCGGGAGCGGGAUUGUGGCUGCGGGGGAGGAAAGGAUAAGGAUAGGAGGAACGAGAACCUUAGAAAUCGAUUAUAUACUUGUAUAUAAGGUCCACAUGUCAGGCACUAUGUAGCGAGUUCGCGAGUUUGCAGGCACGGGUAAGAUAUUUUUUAUGCCCGCUAAUUUUUUGCACGCGGGCACAAACUCAAACCCGCACCCAUACCCGUGGGCACAAAAUAGCACCUGUAUCCUCGUCUUACCAGAUUUUUGCCCGCGGGCACGCGGGUAAUUUAUGCCCGUUGCCAUCCCUACUCAGCUGGUGAUACAUCAUCCACAUGGUGAAGAGGCGCAUCCAGAAAUUUGUUUUUCGUUGACAGAAGUUGGUCAUCAGAUAAUGCAGAUGAAGGGGAGAGAACUACAUAGCAGGAAUUUGGAAUUAGCUUUUCUUUUACGGCUGAUGUGCACACUUCCACACCUCGAAGUCAAAACAACUAGAUGAAUCGGCAAUGGAUGUACAAUGCAGAUAAAUGCUCGAUGGAGUACAUUAACGACUUUCAUUACUCAUCCAAAAAGACUAUUCACGCCCACAUAUAUAGUUCCGGAUUCAUUCCUAACUAUUUUGUUUGGACCAAGCAUGGGGAAAAGGGAGUUAUGAUGGAAGAUAAUGAUGAAGAAGAAGAUGACAACAUUCCUGACUGGACUCAAGGAGAUACUUAAGUGUUUAAUUUGCUCUAUCUUCAAAAUCUCCACUAUAGUCAUUGUGCGACGUCUUAUCUCCUAUUCUAUUUUGUAUUAUGCAGAAUGGAGAUUCAAGCUUGAGGAAAGGAUUAUAGGAUGUCGGCUUCAUGGACCGGAUAUUAUAAACAAGGCAACUGUAGGAGAUAAACCAAAUCAAACCUUAAAGAAUAUAUAUAUAAUUUCUUGGAUAAGCAACAUUACAAGAAGUACAUACUUCUAUCGUACAACUUCAACUUCCAUUGGAUACUUCUUGUUAUCGUGGUUGAUCGAAGCAUACUCUAUAUCUUGAACUCUCUGAGGGGAUCAAGAAAUCAAUACAAUGACCUUAUAGACAUGCUUAAUACAGCAUUGGCUCGCUUCCGUCAAUAUCACUCAGGUGAAUUUAAGGAGUAACUUCAUAUCCACUUUGAAUUCCCGAUUAUGCACACGAAGGAAGAACUCCUAAAGAUGGAAAAAAUCAGGGCAAUUCAAGAACAACUCAAUGGAUUUCUUCUGGACGAGGUAGUAAAUCCAGCGGUAGAGUUUCAUAAUGAUGGAUCAAAUCCA